rnacentral:rRNA from 1 species
AGAGUUUGAUCCUGGCUCAGGACGAACGCUGGCGGCGUGGAUUAGGCAUGCAAGUCGCGCGACGGGUAGGAUUCGUCCUACUACGGAGCGGCGAACGGGUGAGUAACACGUGAACAAUCUGUCCCUACAUUCCGGAUAAUUGGCCGAAAGGCCUUGUAAUACGGGGGAGGACGGUGGUGAGGCAUCUCACUAUCGGGGAAGGCGCAAGCCGUGCAGGGAGGAGUUCGCGGCCUAUCAGCUUGUUGGUGGGGUAAAGGCCUACCAAGGCGACGACGGGUAGCUGGUCUGAGAGGAUGGUCAGCCACAUUGGAACUGAGACACUGUCCAGACUCCUACGGGAGGCUGCAGUCGAGAAUCUUGGUCAAUGCACGAAAGUGUGAACCAGCGACGCCGCGUGAAGGAUGAAGGACCUCUGGUUCGUAAACUUCUUUUAGGGGGGAAGAAUGGGCUUUAAGCCUUUGACGGUACCCUCUGAAUAAGCCACGGCUAACUACGUGCCAGCAGCCGCGGUAAAUACGUAGGUGGCAAGCGUUGUCCGGAUUUACUGGGCGUAAAGCGUAUGCAGGCGGACACUUAAGUAGGAAGUGAAAGGUGGGAGCUCAACUCCCACAUUGCUCCCUAUACUGGGUGUCUUUGAGUGGCGGAAGGGAGAUGGAACGACCCGUUGUCCGGUGAAAUGCGUUGAUAUGUUGUCGGAACACCAAUGCAAAGCAAUCUCCUUGGACGGCAAAACUGACGCUGGAGAUACCGAAAGCCCAAAGGUUAGCCAAACAAGGAUUUAGAUACCCCCUGGGUAGUCUUGGCCAUAAACGAUGUUCACUAGGUGUUGGGGCUUUGCCUCGGUGCCGCAGCUAACGCAUUAAGUGAACCGCCUGGGAACUACGAUCGCAAGAUUAAAACUCAAAGGAAUUGGCGGGGGCCCGCACAAGCGGUGGAGCAUGUGGCUUAAUUCGAUGCAACGCGAAGAACCUUUACCAGGGCUUGACAUGGAUCUGCAAGCUACCGAAAAGUAGUCGCCUUCGAGGGUGAUUCACAGGUGGUGCAUGGCUGUCGUCAGCUCGUGUUGUGAAAUGUUGGGUUAAGUCCCGCAACGAGCGCAACCCUCAUGUUCUGUUACCAGCGAGUAACGUCGGGGACUCGGAACAAACUGCCGCUGUAAAGCGGAGGAAGGUGGGGAUGACGUCAAGUCAUCAUGCCCCUUACGCCCUGGGCUGCACACAUGCUACAAUGGCCGGCACAAAGAGCUGCGAAACUGCGAAGUGGAGCAAAUCUCAAAAAACCGGUCCCAGUUCGGAUUGGAGUCUGCAACUCGACUCCAUGAAGUCGGAAUCGCUAGUAACCGCCGGUCAGCAAUACGGCGGUGAAUACGUUCCCGGGCCUUGCACACACCGCCCGUCACGCCACGAAAGUCGGUCUUACCCGAAGUCGCUACGCUAACCGCAAGGAAGCAGGCGCCGAAGGUAGGGCCGGUGAUUGGGACGAAGUCGUACAAGGUAGCCGUAUCGGAAGGUGCGGCUGGAUCACCUCC